rnacentral:rRNA from 1 species
UACGUAGGGUGCGAGCGUUAAUCGGAAUUACUGGGCGUAAAGCGUGCGCAGGCGGCGCGUUAAGACAGGUGUGAAAGCCCCGAGCUUAACUUGGGAAUUGCGCUUGUGACUGGCGUGCUGGAGUGUGGCAGAGGGAGGUGGAAUUCCUAGUGUAGAGGUGAAAUUCGUAGAUAUUAGGAAGAACACCAGUGGCGAAGGCGGCUCACUGGCCCGGUACUGACGCUGAGGCGCGAAAGCGUGGGGAGCAAACAGGG